rnacentral:rRNA from 1 species
GAACUUAAGCAUAUCAAUAAGCGGAGGAAAAGAAACUAACAAGGAUUCCCUCAGUAACUGCGAGUGAAGUGGGAAAAGCUCAAAUUUGAAAUCUGGCAGCUCUUUCAGGUUGUCCGAGUUGUAAUCUAGAGAAGUGUUACCUGUGUUGGACCGUGUAAAAGUCUUCUGGAAUGGAGCAUCAUAGAGGGCGAGAAUCCCGUCUUUGACAUGGACUACCAGCAUGCCAAGGUGCACUCUCAAAGAGUCGAGUUGUUUGGGAAUGCAGCUCAAAAUGGGUGGUAAAUGCCAUCUAAAGCUAAAUAUUGGCGAGAGACCGAUAGCGAACAAGUACCGUGAGGGAAAGAUGAAAAGAACUUUGGAAAGAGAGUUAAACAGUACGUGAAAUUGCUGAAAGGGAAACGCUUAAAGUCAGUCGCAUUAGCUGGAAAUCAGGCUUGCUUUUGCAAGGUGCACUUUCUAGUCGAUGGGUCAGCAUCAAUUUUAAUCGUUGGAUAAAGUCAUUGGGAAUGUGGCAUCUUUGGAUGUGUUAUAGCCCAGUGUUGAAUACAGCGGUCAGGAUUGAGGAAUUCAGCAUGCCUCUAGGGGCCAGGUUUCGACCAUGUUCAUGCUUAGGAUGCUGGCAUAAUGGCUUUAAUCGACCCGUCUUGAAACACGGACCAAGGAGUCUAACAUGCCUGCGAGUGUUUGGGUGAAAAACCCAUACGCACAAUGAAAGUGAAAGUUGAGAUCCUUAGGGAGCAUUGACGCCCGGACCAGACCUUCUGUGACGGAUCCGCGGUAGAGCAUGUAUGUUGGGACCCGAAA